rnacentral:rRNA from 1 species
AAGGUUAAGCCUCACGGUUCAUUAGUACCGGUUAGCUCAACGCAUCGCUGCGCUUACACACCCGGCCUAUCAACGUCGUCGUCUUCAACGUUCCUUCAGGACCCUUAAAGGGUCAGGGAGAACUCAUCUCGGGGCAAGUUUCGUGCUUAGAUGCUUUCAGCACUUAUCUCUUCCGCAUUUAGCUACCGGGCAGUGCCAUUGGCAUGACAACCCGAACACCAGUGAUGCGUCCACUCCGGUCCUCUCGUACUAGGAGCAGCCCCCCUCAGUUCUCCAGCGCCCACGGCAGAUAGGGACCGAACUGUCUCACGACGUUCUAAACCCAGCUCGCGUACCACUUUAAAUGGCGAACAGCCAUACCCUUGGGACCUACUUCAGCCCCAGGAUGUGAUGAGCCGACAUCGAGGUGCCAAACACCGCCGUCGAUAUGAACUCUUGGGCGGUAUCAGCCUGUUAUCCCCGGAGUACCUUUUAUCCGUUGAGCGAUGGCCCUUCCAUUCAGAACCACCGGAUCACUAUGACCUGCUUUCGCACCUGCUCGCGCCGUCACGCUCGCAGUCAAGCUGGCUUAUGCCAUUGCACUAACCUCCUGAUGUCCGACCAGGAUUAGCCAACCUUCGUGCUCCUCCGUUACUCUUUAGGAGGAGACCGCCCCAGUCAAACUACCCACCAGACACUGUCCGCAACCCGGAUCACGGGUCCACGUUAGAACAUCAAACAUUAAAGGGUGGUAUUUCAAGGUCGGCUCCAUGCAGACUGGCGUCCACACUUCAAAGCCUCCCACCUAUCCUACACAUCAAGGCUCAAUGUUCAGUGUCAAGCUAUAGUAAAGGUUCACGGGGUCUUUCCGUCUUGCCGCGGGUACACUGCAUCUUCACAGCGAGUUCAAUUUCACUGAGUCUCGGGUGGAGACAGCCUGGCCAUCAUUACGCCAUUCGUGCAGGUCGGAACUUACCCGACAAGGAAUUUCGCUACCUUAGGACCGUUAUAGUUACGGCCGCCGUUUACCGGGGCUUCGAUCAAGAGCUUCGCUUGCGCUAACCCCAUCAAUUAACCUUCCGGCACCGGGCAGGCGUCACACCGUAUACGUCCACUUUCGUGUUUGCACAGUGCUGUGUUUUUAAUAAACAGUUGCAGCCAGCUGGUAUCUUCGACUGAUUUCAGCUCCACGAGCAAGUCGCUUCACCUACGUAUCAGCGUGCCUUCUCCCGAAGUUACGGCACCAUUUUGCCUAGUUCCUUCACCCGAGUUCUCUCAAGCGCCUUGGUAUUCUCUACCUGACCACCUGUGUCGGUUUGGGGUACGAUUUGAUGUUACCUGAUGCUUAGAGGCUUUUCCUGGAAGCAGGGCAUUUGUUGCUUCAGCACCGUAGUGCCUCGUCAUCACGCCUCGGCCUUGAUUUUCCGGAUUUGCCUGGAAAACCAGCCUACACGCUUAAACCGGGACAACCGUCGCCCGGCCAACAUAGCCUUCUCCGUCCCCCCUUCGCAGUAACACCAAGUACAGGAAUAUUAACCUGUUUCCCAUCGACUACGCCUUUCGGCCUCGCCUUAGGGGUCGACUCACCCUGCCCCGAUUAACGUUGGACAGGAACCCUUGGUCUUCCGGCGAGCGGGCUUUUCACCCGCUUUAUCGUUACUUAUGUCAGCAUUCGCACUUCUGAUACCUCCAGCAUACCUCACAGCACACCUUCACAGGCUUACAGAACGCUCCCCUACCCAACAACGCAUAAGCGUCGCUGCCGCAGCUUCGGUGCAUGGUUUAGCCCCGUUACAUCUUCCGCGCAGGCCGACUCGACCAGUGAGCUAUUACGCUUUCUUUAAAUGAUGGCUGCUUCUAAGCCAACAUCCUGGCUGUCUGGGCCUUCCCACAUCGUUUCCCACUUAACCAUGACUUUGGGACCUUAGCUGGCGGUCUGGGUUGUUUCCCUCUUCACGACGGACGUUAGCACCCGCCGUGUGUCUCCCGUGAUAACAUUCUCCGGUAUUCGCAGUUUGCAUCGGGUUGGUAAGUCGGGAUGACCCCCUUGCCGAAACAGUGCUCUACCCCCGGAGAUGAAUUCACGAGGCGCUACCUAAAUAGCUUUCGGGGAGAACCAGCUAUCUCCCGGUUUGAUUGGCCUUUCACCCCCAGCCACAAGUCAUCCGCUAAUUUUUCAACAUUAGUCGGUUCGGUCCUCCAGUUAGUGUUACCCAACCUUCAACCUGCCCAUGGCUAGAUCACCGGGUUUCGGGUCUAUACCCUGCAACUUAACGCCCAGUUAAGACUCGGUUUCCCUUCGGCUCCCCUAUUCGGUUAACCUUGCUACAGAAUAUAAGUCGCUGACCCAUUAUACAAAAGGUACGCAGUCACACGCCUAAGCGUGCUCCCACUGCUUGUACGUACACGGUUUCAGGUUCUUUUUCACUCCCCUCGCCGGGGUUCUUUUCGCCUUUCCCUCACGGUACUGGUUCACUAUCGGUCAGUCAGGAGUAUUUAGCCUUGGAGGAUGGUCCCCCCAUAUUCAGACAGGAUACCACGUGUCCCGCCCUACUCAUCGAGCUCACAGUAUGUGCAUUUUUGUGUACGGGGCUGUCACCCUGUAUCGCACGCCUUUCCAGACGCUUCCACUAACACACACACUGAUUCAGGCUCUGGGCUGCUCCCCGUUCGCUCGCCGCUACUGGGGAAUCUCGGUUGAUUUCUUUUCCUCGGGGUACUUAGAUGUUUCAGUUCCCCCGGUUCGCCUCAUUAACCUAUGGAUUCAGUUAAUGAUAGUGUGACGAAUCACACUGGGUUUCCCCAUUCGGAAAUCGCCGGUUAUAACGGUUCAUAUCACCUUACCGACGCUUAUCGCAGAUUAGCACGUCCUUCAUCGCCUCUGACUGCCAGGGCAUCCACCGUGUACGCUUAGUCGCUUAA